rnacentral:rRNA from 1 species
AGUGAACGCUGGCGGUAGGCCUAACACAUGCAAGUCGAACGGCAGCACAGUAAGAGCUUGCUCUUACGGGUGGCGAGUGGCGGACGGGUGCGGAAUACAUCGGAAUCUACUUUUUCGUGGGGGAUAACGUAGGGAAACUUACGCUAAUACCGCAUACGACCUACGGGUGAAAGCAGGGGAUCUUCGGACCUUGCGCGAUUGAAUGAGCCGAUGUCGGAUUAGCUAGUUGGCGGGGUAAAGGCCCACCAAGGCGACGAUCCGUAGCUGGUCUGAGAGGAUGAUCAGCCAAACUGGAACUGAGACACGGUCCAGACUCCUACGGGAGGCAGCAGUGGGGAAUAGUGGACAAUGGGCGCAAGCCUGAUCCAGCCAUACCGCGUGGGUGAAGAAGGCCUUCGGGUUGUAAAGCCCUUUUGUUGGGAAAGAAAAGCAGCAGGUUAAUACCCCGCUGUUCUGACGGUACCCAAAGAAUAAGCACCGGCUAACUUCGUG